GAUCCUGGCUCAGGAUGAACGCUAGCGACAGGCUUAACACAUGCAAGUCGAGGGGCAGCACAGGGUAGCAAUACUUGGGUGGCGACCGGCGCACGGGUGAGUAACGCGUAUGCAACUUACCUAUCAGAGGGGGAUAGCCCGGCGAAAGUCGGAUUAAUACUCCAUAAAACAGGGGUUCCGCAUGGGACUAUUUGUUAAAGAUUCAUCGCUGAUAGAUAGGCAUGCGUUCCAUUAGG
rnacentral:rRNA from 1 species